UAUUCAUUUACUUUAGUGAAUUGAAUAAUUGAAUAAAGAGUUCUUAGUGGGCCAUUUUUGGUAAGCAGAACUGGCGAUGUGGGAUGAACCAGACGUUGAGAUAAAGUGCCAAAGAUUUCGCUCAUCAGACACCAUAAAAGGUGUUAAUUCAUAUCGACAGUAGGACGGUGGCCAUGGAAGUCGGAAUCCGCUAAGGAGUGUGUAACAACUCACCUACCGAAUGAAUUAGCCCUGAAAAUGGAUGGCGCUUAAGCGAUACACUUAUACUCAACCCAUAAAAAAUUUAGUGCAGUUUUAUGGAGUAGGAGGGCGUAAAGAUUGAUUAGAAGCUUUACUGUGAAGUAUAGUGAAUCUUUCUUUAGUUGCAGAUCUUGGUGGUAGUAGCAAAUAUUCAAUAGAGAACAUUGAAGACUGAAGUGGAG
rnacentral:rRNA from 1 species